AGGGACUCCCGUCUGCACCCGGCCUCUAGGGCCCUCACUCCCACAGCGCCCCCCAGCGGCACAGGGCCUCCUGGACGGAACUGAAAGUCUGAAAGUCCUGCCGGGCGACGCUCUGUUUGCACGUUUCGUCCACGUCUGCAGUGCAUCGUGACUGCGCUCCUCCCGUGGCGAAGGGACUGUCAAACUCCGCAAGGGCAGCCAUUGGUGUAAUCAGCAAAAAGCCAUCCUGCAGCUGGAAAAAAAUUACAUCUUUGAAUAAGUAGGUAAAACAAAUCUUUUAGGAAAGAGGAAAAACCCCACAGUUGGCUGUGUGGCAGAGGACUGUCUUUUGUCUUUCCUUCCUGUGCCUUUCCCAGUGGGGUUCUCUUAUUUCUGUCAUCCUGCUGUGUCCUGUAUUGGCUCAACUUCAGUCCCAACACAUUUGUUUUCUUUAUUUCCAUAGUGCUGCUGGAGGAGUUUAACAUUUUGGAAAAGAAACUCAAUAAAAACUAAGGAGAAUAUAUAUUUAAAAAAUAAAAAAAUGCAAAUACCCUGAAAAUAACCAAUUUUGCAAACUACAGGGUUUGGAAUUGAAGAAAACCAAACACUUGCCAUCAUCUACUGCUACAACCAUGGGUUCCUUUCCUCCCAGCAGCUCAGAUUCUUUGCCUCUGGUCCUCACACCCCAACCCAAAGGCCCAAAUAACUCAUGGUGGGAACAUCAGGUACCUGAAGUUUAAAUGUAUCCUUCUAUGGGAAGAACCAGAGUGGAACUAUCAAAACAGGAGGAAGAACUGCUUUUAGUACUCCCUCAUGCAUGGCCACAUCUGCCAUCCCCUUCUCAUGCCCUUUCCUCUGUCUUCAGGAAGGACAAUGAAGGGGGUGAGGAAAUUCCAAGAUCAUCUCUUGGUAGAAAAGAGGAACACGUAGCCCUCCCUACCUGGACUUCUGCCUGGACCUCUGCUGUAAGCUUCAGUGCUGUACAGGGUGAUUGCACCUUCUUAAUUUUCCAGAGUCUCUGAAAGAGAAAGGAAGCCAAUCUUGCCCUCCAGGAAAUGGGGGACAAUGUUGACUGUCACCACUUUGUACAGCUAUUGCUUGUUUAACAACUGUUAUGGCUUGCAUUUAGAUGUCCCCCAAAGCCUCACGUGGUCAUAGGUGGGGCUUUUUCAGAGGUGGCUAAAUCUAGACUGUGCAAUGCUGGAAUUGAUUCAUGAUGCAAUGCUAAGAUGAAGGGCACUAGGAUUAAAGGUGUGAGUGCUACCCACCCUAAGUAGCUGAAUAAGAUGUAAGGGAUAGAAAGAACUGUUGUUGUCCCUUGUUGCUUUUGCUACCUUCUGCCCCAUCAUGAACUCUUUCUCUUCUAUGAUGCCUGUCUGCCUUGCCAGCCUGCCUUGGAGCCAGAUGCUUAUAGACUAAAAUCUGCAGAAACUGUGAGCUAAAUAAACUUUUCCUCCCUUAACUUGUGAAUAUUGGGUAUUUUGUCUCAACAAGAAAAGUAACUAAUACAGAAUUUGGUACCAGGAGUGAGGUUGUUGCUGUGACUAUACCUGACCAUAUGGUUCAGGAGUUUGACAAGAGUUUGUAAAGGUUCAGCGAUACUGGCUAAAAAGGUAGAGCUGGAACACCUUAGGUUAUACUUGAUGGAAGAUUCUGGUCAGAGCUCAAAAGACCAAAAGGCUGAUAGAAAUCCUUCUAGUAAGGAAGGAUAGGAAUCCUUCCAGUAAAGACCAGGAUUGAGAUAUUUCUGCUGGAAAGAAACACCUCAUUAGCUGUUAGAUUCCAGACAAUAUGUGUUACACUUUCAUAGAAAGUUUGUCUACAUUUUGCUCAUGUCCAGAGACUUUGCCUAAGACUAAGAUUAAGGGUGGCAGACUAAUGAAUCUUCCAGAAAAAAUUUUGAGGAAGUCUAAUGUUGAGUCCAUGACAUAGCUUCUGUUGGGGGCUUCUAGCCAGAUCUAUGUUGAGAAUCAAGACCAAAGGGGCCAACAGAAUGACUUAAAACAUUGUAAGUUUGGCCAAAAAAAAUAAAAAUCAAUGGUCUGUGGACUGCAAAGAUAGAGCAGAAGAGAUCUUACUUGCAGCAAAAAAAAAAAAAAAAAAAAAACACAAAAAAAAAAAAAA